rnacentral:misc_RNA from 1 species
GAUGAAGAACGUAGCGAAAUGCGAUACGUAAUGUGAAUUGCAGAAUUCAGUGAAUCAUCGAAUCUUUGAACGCAUAUUGCGCUCUCUGGUAUUCCGGAGAGCAUGCUUGUUUGAGUAUCAGUAAACACCUCAACUUCCAUAUCUUUUUUGAAAUGGGAGUUGGACUUGAUUGAUCCCAACGCUUUUCCUCACCGAAAAGUGGCGGGUUACUUGAAAUGCAGGUGCAGCUGGACUUUUCUCUGAGCUAUAAGCAUAUCUAUUUAGUCUGCCUAAAAAACAGAUUAUUACCUUUGCUGCAGCUAACAUAAAGGAGAUUAGUUCUUGUGCUGACUGAUGCAGGAUUCACAAAGACAGGCUUCGGCCGACUUUGUAAACUCGAUCUCAAAUCAAGUAAGACUACCCGCUGAACUUAAGCAUAUCAAUAAGCGGAGGA